GGGAAGGUUGCUAUGAAGAUUGUCCCCCUGGAUCAUGUUGUAACUGGGACGGUAUUUGCGGAAAUACAGAAGAUUAUUGUGGCAGAUCGUUCUGUCAAAAACAAUGUCCACCUCCACCCCCACUUGCACCUCCACCUCCAAACCCACCUGGACGAUGUGGAUGGCAAGCUUAUGGUACUAAGUGUCCUCCUGGAUUGUGUUGUAGUACAUCUGGUUGGUGUGGAUCCACUGAAAAAUAUUGCGCCAAAGGGCGUUGUCAAAGUCAGUGCAAAAGUACUCUUACCCCUCAUAAUAAUCCAAUAAUAGGUAAGCGAGAGUGUGGAUACCAAGGUUGCUACAAACUAUGUCCUCCUGGAUCGUGCUGUAGCUGGUUGGGUUGGUGCGGAACUACAGAAAAGUACUGCAGUCCAAAGAACUGUCAAAGCCAAUGUCCACCUAUACCCCCACCUCCACCUCCACCUCCAUACGCACCUGGACGAUGUGGAAGGCAAGCUGAUGGUAGAAAAUGUCCUCCUGGAUUGUGCUGUAGUGCAUCUGGUUGGUGCGGAACCACAAAAUUCUAUUGCGCCAAAGAGUGGUGUCAA
rnacentral:lncRNA from 1 species